UACCAGCACCCCGAGUGGUCGGGACGAUUAUUGGGCCUAAAGCAUCCGUAGCCGGUUCUACAAGUCUUCCGUUAAAUCCACCUGCUCAACAGUUGGGCUGCAGAGGAUACUAUAGAGCUAGGAGGCGGGAGAGGCAAGCGGUACUUAGUGGGUAGGGGUAAAAUCCGUUGAUCCAUUGAAGACCACCAGUGGCGAAGGCGGCUUGCCAGAACGCACUCGACGGUGAGGGAUGAAAGCUGGGGGAGCAAACCGG
rnacentral:rRNA from 1 species